rnacentral:rRNA from 1 species
AUUGAACGCUGGCGGCAGGCCUAACACAUGCAAGUCGAGCGGAUGAAGGGAGCUUGCUCCUGGAUUCAGCGGCGGACGGGUGAGUAAUGCCUAGGAAUCUGCCUGGUAGUGGGGGAUAACGUCCGGAAACGGGUGCUAAUACCGCAUACGUCCUGAGGGAGAAAGUGGGGGAUCUUCGGACCUCACGCUAUCAGAUGAGCCUAGGUCGGAUUAGCUAGUUGGUGGGGUAAAGGCCUACCAAGGCGACGAUCCGUAACUGGUCUGAGAGGAUGAUCAGUCACACUGGAACUGAGACACGGUCCAGACUCCUACGGGAGGCAGCAGUGGGGAAUAUUGGACAAUGGGCGAAAGCCUGGUCCAGCCAUGCCGCGUGUGUGAAGAAGGUCUUCGGAUUGUAAAGCACUUUAAGUUGGGAGGAAGGGCAGUAAGUUAAUACCUUGCUGUUUUGACGUUACCAACAGAAUAAGCACCGGCUAACUUCGUG